GUGGGUAUUUGACGAAGGUUUUCUUGAUCUGCAUCUGAAACUUUGUAUCUGGUAGUUCUGUUUAGAUUCUUGCAUACGUUUGGUUAUUGAAGUUGCCUUUUCGUCUGGGUGGCUGCAUGCAGGGGAGGCUUCUUGAAGAUGGCUUACCUUUCUGCUGUUUGAAGCUUUGGUUCAGAUGGGUCCUCUUUUAGCUGCGUGUGCAUCUCUUGGGGAUGCUCCCGGUACGAUCCUCUUGAUACCCAGUCUCUCAAUGACUACUAGAGCUAAAGAGCUCUGCCUCGCGCCUGUCUGCUUCCUCUCUCCUGUUCAUUUCAAGGUGCUGUAUGUUUAGUCUCCUUAUCGUGAUCUAAGUGUGCUGGUAGGUUGGCUUGUUCCAGGGCUGCUUUCUUUGGGGUUUCGUGUGUAGGCUUUUCGCCGUUUGGUAAACAACCAUAUCUGCUUCAUCAGGUUCAUCUGCUUCCCAGAAAACGCGGUCAGGCUUGUUUGUU
rnacentral:misc_RNA from 1 species